AGUGAACGCUGGCGGCGUGCUUAACACAUGCAAGUCGAACGAGAACGGAUUAUAGCUUGCUAUAAUUGUCAGCUAAGUGGCGCACGGGUGAGUAAUGUAUAGGUAAUAUGCCUCUUACUAAGGGAUAACAAAUGGAAACGUUUGCUAAUACCUUAUACUCCUUAUUAACAUAAGUUAAUAAGGGAAAUAUUUAUUGGUAAGAGAUUAGCCUGUAUUGUAUCAGUUAGUUGUUGGGGUAAUGGCUUACCAAGACUAUGACACAUAACUGGUUUGAGAGGAUGAUCAGUCACACUGGAACUGAGACACGGUCCAGACUCCUACGGAUGGCAGCAGUGGGGAAUAUUGCACAAUGGACGAAAGUCUGAUGCAGCAACGCCGCGUGGAGGAUGACACAUUUCGGUGCGUAAACUCCUUUUAUAUGAGAAGAUAAUGACGGUAUUAUAUGAAUAAGCACCGGCUAACUCCGUGCCAGCAGCCGCCGUAACAC
rnacentral:rRNA from 1 species